AAACUGAAGAGUUUGAUCCUGGCUCAGAUUGAACGCUGGCGGCAUGCCUAACACAUGCAAGUCGAACGGAAACGAUGGGAGCUUGCUCCCAGGCGUCGAGUGGCGGACGGGUGAGUAAUGCUUAGGAAUCUACCCAGUAGCGGGGGAUAGCCCGGGGAAACUCGGAUUAAUACCGCAUACGCCCUACGGGGGAAAGCAGGGGAUCUUCGGACCUUGCACUAUUGGAUGAGCCUAAGUCGGAUUAGCUUGUUGGUGAGGUAAAGGCUCACCAAGGCGACGAUCCGUAGCUGGUCUGAGAGGACGAUCAGCCACACUGGGACUGAGACACGGCCCAGACUCCUACGGGAGG
rnacentral:rRNA from 1 species